rnacentral:rRNA from 1 species
UACGGAGGGGGCUAGCGUUGUUCGGAAUUACUGGGCGUAAAGCGUACGUAGGCGGCUUUGUAAGUUAGAGGUGAAAGCCCGGGGCUUAACCCCGGAAUUGCCUUUAAGACUGCAUCGCUUGAAUCAUGGAGAGGUGAGUGGAAUUCCGAGUGUAGAGGUGAAAUGCGUAGAUAUCUGGAGGAAUACCGGUGGCGAAGGCGGCAUCCUGGACCGGCAUUGACGCUGAUGAGCGAAAGCUAGGGGAGCAAACGGG